GUCCCUGUGGCUCAGUUGGUAGAGCAUGGUGUGUGCAAUGCCAGGGUUGUGGGUUCAAUUCCCAUGGGGGGCC
rnacentral:tRNA from 1 species